rnacentral:rRNA from 1 species
GUCUUUUUGAAUUAAUAAUUUAAAGUCUAAUCUGCCCACUGAUAAAUAAUUAAAGGGCUGCAGUAUUUUGACUGUACAAAGGUAGCAUAAUCAUUAGUCUCUUAAUUAGUGACUUGUAUGAAAGAUUUGAUGAAAUAUAAACUGUCUCUUUAUAAUUUUUAGAAUUUAAUUUUUUAGUUAAAAAGCUAAAAUAUAUUUAAAAGACGAGAAGACCCUAUAGAGUUUAAUAUUUAAUUUAUAUUAAAAAUUUUUUAUAAAAUUUAUAAUUUUGAUAAAUUUAAAUAUUUUGUUGGGGUGACAGAAAAAUUAAAAUAACUUUUUUUAUAAUUUUACAUUAAUAAAUGAAUAAAUGAUCCGUAAUUUACGAUUAUAAGAAAAAAUUACCUUAGGGAUAACAGCGUAAUUUUUUUUUUUAGUUCAAAUAAGAAAAAAAGUUUGCGACCUCGAUGUUGGAUUAAGAUAAAAUUUAAAUGCAAAAGUUUAAAAUUUUUGAUCUGUUCGAUCAUUAAAAUCUUACA